rnacentral:lncRNA from 1 species
UGACCCAAAAGAUUAUGAUAGUAUGGUAAGAGCAGAAAUACCUAAAUUAGAAUGUGAACCACAGUUGCAUGAAGUUGUUAUAAGACAUAUGAUCCAUGGAACUUGCAGCAUAAUCAACCGAAAGUCUCCAUGUAUGAAAGACGGGCAUUGUAAAAAAAGGUAUCCCAAACAAUUCUUGGAUGAAACACGUCAAGGCACUGACUCAUAUCCCGAGUAUAGGAGAAGGUUUGAUGAGUCUGUAUCGUUAGGUCG